rnacentral:rRNA from 1 species
UACGUAGGGUGCAAGCGUUGUCCGGAAUUAUUGGGCGUAAAGAGCUCGUAGGCGGUUUGUCGCGUCGUUCGUGAAAACUCACAGCUUAACUGUGAGCUUGCGGUCGAUACGGGCAGGCUAGAGUUCGGUAGGGGAGACUGGAAUUCCUGGUGUAGCGGUGAAAUGCGCAGAUAUCAGGAGGAACACCGGUGGCGAAGGCGGAUCUCUGGGCCAUUACUGACGCUGAGGAGCGAAAGCGUGGGGAGCGAACAGG